rnacentral:lncRNA from 1 species
AAAAAUAUUAUAACUCAAAAUAACUUUCUGACAAUUCCUAAAAGUGCUUUUUUGGAGAAGCUCUAAAAUGGAAUUUCUCCCAAAAAGCUAUUUUAGCUUUCUGAAAAAGCUAAAACAACUUUCCAAAAAUUUUACCAAACACUCCUAUUUUAUCUAAAAGUGCUUUUGGAGGGCCAGAAUGUAUUUUUUGGCCCUCAAAAAGCUCCCCCAAACAUGGCUUUAGUGGUUAGAAUAGUUCUACCACUUCUUUGUCUAAUUUUUGAGGGACUAGUCUUUAAAACUGGACAUUUUCCAUUUUGAUGUUUGUCUUAUUACAAGUUCUUGUUGUUGUUUGUGUUUUCAGGGGGAAAAAGAAAUAAUUAGAUUUGCUUACUUCUUUGACUCCUAGGAGAUGAUUUUUAGGACUGAUAUGAAUGGUUUAGCAAAAAGCAGGGAGGGCGGUGAGGUGGUCAGUUAUAGUUUCUUCAAAAAUAAAGGAAGGCAGCUAUUCCUCUACAAUAGUAUCCAGUUCAAUUAAAAUAUAUUACAACUUGAGCUAAGAAUUAAUACCAGAUUGUGGAAUUGUUCCCUCUAGCAGAACAAUAGAAAAUAAAUGUUAUGGUAGAAGGAUUGAUUUCGUAGUAUGUGUGACAAAUUCUUGGUCCAAUUGAACUAGACGUAAAUCUAGAGAGAGAGUGCAAAGAGUUGCCAUGUUUCUAAUCAAAUCUGUCCCCUCCUCCAAACUAUUUAAAUCAGUGCUGAGGGUAAUCUCCCUUAAGUCCUAGAGGAAAGGGCUUUAUACACACAUACAUAUCAUAUAUAUGUGUGCAUGUGUGCGUGCAUGAAAGCAUGCACACAAUAAAGGACAAGUAGAUACAUUAAUACAACUUAGGACACCAAGGGAAAGACAGUGAGAAAAGGAGCAGUUGACUAGCUGUUAUGGCCGUUAUCGUGAAAAUAGGGAUAGAAGCCGUAUUACAAAUCAUCCUCCCUCUGGUUUUGCUCCUUGUGUUUAUGGUAAGUUGUGUUGCCUAUAUAUUUAGCCUGACAGUCCUCUUUUCCAGCCAGUAGAUGGUCCUGUCACUUGAAAUUUGGCAUCAAUAAGUUUAUUUCCACUUCUUGAAAAUAGGACUAAACUAAAAUACCAUUUUUGACCUUCUAACAUUGAAGAUUAAAUCAUUAAACUAUAAACUUGCAAAUUUUUACUAAAAGCUAAAUAAAAAGAGAAAUCGAGAUACAAUCCCCCCAUCAACCCCAACCAUUCACUGGCACACACAAGAAAAACAGGAAGUGGGCCUAAUACUUGGUUCAUUGACAUCGAUUCGCCAUCCUAAUUGAGUAAUCUUGUACUAUGAUAGAGAUUUUUUGAGUACUCAUUAUCAAGGUACUCCGAACCGGUACCGAGAGGCGUACCGGUGGUCUACCAGACCAGUUCAUCGUUCUUCGUACCAUUUCGGUACUGGACAAGCGAGU